UUAUGUACUUAAUAACUGUUAUCAUGUCCCCUCUCAGUCUUCUCUUUUCCAGACUAAAUGGUAAGCAUUUGCUCAAUAUACCCGACAACUUGGCCAACACAAGCAAAGCGUAAGCAGACAUACAAGUUGAAAAUAAUUCACAAAUUGACCCUGUUAUUGACCAUGAGAUUAAAAAGUCUGUUACAGACAAUCCAGAGGGUUUGCAAUAUAGCAGAUCAGGAAAAUUGCUGAAAUGCCCUAAGAGACUGAUUGAGAUGUAUUAUGGUUGUAUUUGAGCAAUGUGAAGGGUUGUUAAGUCAGUUAUUGUAUUUGUAAUAGUUUAUUAGUUUAAUUUAAUAGUGGUUUUUUUUUAGUUUAGUCAGGAAAUUUAGAAAGGGAUCUAGAAAAGGGAAGUUGUAACAUAGAGUAAGCCCUCCAGGGAGUAUAGAGAUGCCAAAUUUCCUGAACACUCCAGGUGCAAACUCUGGUUUCAGGUGACACAUUUCCUGCUGAGGCAGAAACAAAGAAGCCCAGGACAGGACAGUUGCAGGCUGCAGCUACACAGAGGAGUAGUAAGUUUUGUUAACUCAUUUCUGUGCAUAGCUCCUGUUCAUGAUAAAGGAUUUAUCUUGACACCUGUUUGAUCAUCAGUAAGAUACUUCAAGGGCCAUCCCCACGGAGCUCUGUGCCUCCAAACUGGCUGCCAAACAUUUGCAGCCUCUUCUGGCCAUCCAUCAGCAUAAGUCCUGCAGAAGUAUCCUACACAGGCUGUACUGUUGACCUCUCCUCAUAUGAGGUUAGUUGAUAGCAAUGAGGUGAUAAACUAUUAAUGUAUCCCAAAAAUUCCAUGAGAUUAUUAUGGAGGACAAUGCCACAGCUGCAGAAGUUAAAGAAACAUUGCAGUCCUGUGACUAAGAGAGAAUCUGGUGCACCAUUAGAAUUAUGCAUCAGAAUAUGUCAAUAUUCACACAGAGCAAAGAGGACCUCAGCUUUGAAAGCACCAUCCAGUGAUCCAUGUACAGUGAACACCUUGGAAUUCCAUCGAUCUACUUGGAGAAUAUAAAGGGCUGAGUCAACCCGAACCCUUUCCAAUUUUGCAACAUCCUUUUUGAAAUGUGGACACCAGAACUGGACACAGUAUUCCAGUAAUAGUCUCAUUCGUGUCGUAUACAGAAGUAAUACCAUCUCCUUAUACUGAAAAACAUGUGGAGAGUGAGGGAUGGAACUGACCCUGAUUCUUUCCUUUAUUAAGUUGCAAGUGCUGACAAGGUUCAACUAUUUCAUAAAAGCCUGUGAGGGAUCUCUGCUAAUUGAGGAGAUGGGACUCUUCAGAAAGCCUCCCUCAGACUUUAAGGCUUUGAUCUUGCAAACACCUAAGUAUGGCUGCAGGAACAUCUCCUGGCACAGAGAACACAAAGACUCCUGCACUCUCAGUGCUCCCCCAAUGACUGCCAACCUGUGUGGUGCUGGAGGGAGAAAGCAGGAAGAAGACGACUGUGUGCCUCUGCGUCUCCUUGCUGAAAGGUGUAGACGGGCAUUUCCCUGAGAACAGGAUUUACGGAGAGAACAGGCUCUCUUGAGCCCUUUUCCCACAAGCCUGUUCCCCAGAGUCCCUGUUCCCUUGUCUGGACUCACAGGACUCUCACAAAUGUCAGUCCAAGGCACUCUUUGUAUACAAAGUAUAACGGUGGAUACUUUAGUAGUCUAGUCAUUCGCCAGUAGCUGAUGUACUUGAACACUAUCUCUAGCACAUAGGCUGGUGGGCCCUUAGCUCAGUGGGGCCUUAUUGUCGUAAGUCUGAAAACCACUGCACUAAGAGGCUGAUUCCACUGUGUUCAUUAGACCAACCUUCAUGCGGCACAAAGCUGGUGAUAAAGUUCUGGGUAAGGACUGGUUUAGGGAAAAUAAUGAGAUUGACGAUCCUUCCCUAAGGGAGGGCAGGGUGUCCAUUUCUGUCGAACAAGCUGCUGUUAGGUCAGUGUGUGACAGUUUGUGACCUUAUGUUUACCAGUUUUACAAGACUAUGAUAAAUUCUGCCCAAAGUAUGCCUGGUGAGGUAUCACUUGAAAACUUAUAAUCUGCUGAACAUUCUUCUCCUGGUAAAAUGUGUGGCAACACUGUAUGUAAAGUGUUAAGAUUCUAGUGUAUGACUUUAUGGAGACAUAUUCCAAGUUUAGAAAAGCAGGUACAGACCAGUUCCUCAGAGACAAAAGGCAAACUGACACCUCAGCCAGGUGUCCACACAAUCAGAUGGACUAUCACUGGAUUAAGUGGCCAUUCUUUGGCAGGAAGAAGGGUGAAGCAAGAGAUUUAUGUCUUGGAAAUGGAACAUCUGUGGGUUCUCAUUUAAACAGAUUGGCUGUCACUUGAGCUGGAGAUUUUCAAAGAGGAGGAAAAGAUAUAAAAAUGAGGAACAGAGGCCCCAAAUCACCUCUCGCCCCUCAUCUCUACUCCAUGGCAUCAAGGACAUUUGAAAGACAAAGAACGCAUCAUUGAACUGGGGGAGGGAUCCUGGCUGAACUGUAAGCAUAUGGAGAGAGAAAUCUUUUCGCUUUGAAUUCACUUAGGUUGAUAAGUUAGGUUUUAGUUUGCAUUUUGCCUUUUAUUUCUUUGUAACCAAUUCUGACUUUUAUG